UAAAGGAGAAUGAAACAGGCUAUUCUGUUGGCGGCCGCCUGAACCCAGGGAAGAGCCGGCCCAAACGGAGGCCCCCAUGAGGGACUCGGCAAAAGCCUGCAGUGAUUCCGGGAGCGAUACCACAGAGGACUCUUGUUGGGUUACCAUCUUGGACUUGAAGGAGGCCUUUUUUGCACACCCUUGAGUUUUGAAUCCCAGAAGUUGUCUGCUUUCGAAUGGGAAGGUCAAGAUAAAGGAGUUAAAUUCUAGUACUGCUGGACAGUGCUUCCUCAGGGAGUUAAAAAUUCUCACACUACUGGGAGAAAUCCUGGCGAGACCUGAGGGACCUUGAACUAAAUGUGGGAGCCCUGCUCCAGGAUGUGGACAAUGCCCUGAUCACAAGUGAGACAAAGGACUCCUGAGACCAAGGUAUGGGUUUGAUUUCGAACUUCUUGGCUGAA